AAUCAACGCUGGCGGCGUGCCUCAGACAUGCAAGUCGAACGCGAAAGUCCUCUUCGGGGGAGUGAGUAGAGUGGCGCUCGGGUGAGUAACACGUAGGUAAUCUACCUUUGGGUGGGGAAUAACAGCCGGAAACGGCUGCUAAUACCGCAUAAUGCAGCGGCUCGACAUCGAGACAGUUGUUAAAGCGGGGGAGUUCCGAAAGGAACCUCGCGCCUAAAGAGGAGCCUGCGGCAGAUUAGCUAGUUGGUAAGGUAAUGGCUUACCAAGGCUUCGAUCUGUAGCCGGCCUGAGAGGGCGGUCGGCCACACUGACACUUAAAUACGGGUCAGACUCCUAC
rnacentral:rRNA from 1 species